ACCUAAACACUUAGGUGGUCAACACAAUGACCUCUUGUUCAGCAUGUGUAAGUUGGCAGUCUAUUUUUCUGGGAACAUUGCUGAAAGCAUUACAAAUGAUGUCAUUACGUUAAUAAAUUUGGUUUCAUUCUUCACUCACAAGAAAGGAAAAGAAAAAGAUUUCUUUGUGCCCUAGGCCCUGUCACUAAGAUCCUUCCCAGUGUAGAGAACAGGCUUAGUUGCCCAGAGCACCUUCGGUCCCUCAGCUGAGCCACCAGGGUCUUCAACAUUGCAGGAAUUCCCAUGGUGGCCAGCAGAGAGAGCUCGAGCACCACACACCCGGAGGCGCUGGUUCCUCUGCCGAGGCAGUGAUGGCCAGCAGAGGGCUCACCAUCGGCUUUUCUGACCCAGGGCACUUCAGAGCAGGAAGGGCUUCUAUUUAUUCCAGAGAGCGCAGCGCCUCUGCUGCUGCCUCAGGACAGAGAGCAGAGCUGCCUUUCCAGCGUGUUCUGCCGCCCACCCCAGGGGAGAUCUGGGGAGCUUUGCAGCAACUUGGCAUCUCCUGAGGCCCACAGAGUAUCUGCUUGUUGUACUGAGUGCUGAGGAGGGGGCGCUGGGUGGCUUCCCUGGGCAAGCUGGUUGCUGAGCUGCACAGGCACUUGCAUUUUCUGGGCUGUUCCCGUGUUUCAUUCCUCCACUUCCUGGACAGUAUUUGAGCAAGACAUAUUUUACUAAAGAGCUCGUGGAUUGCGGGGUCCCACGACAUCACCUCAUCGAUGCAGUCGAUGGUUUGCUCCAGAUUCAGGCUUGUUUCCGGGAAGAAGCCCUGACAGAAGUUCAGAAGAACGGGAGCUGCAUUCCGUUAGGACGUGAAUACAUGAAAUGCUCCUCUCACGACCUUCUAGAAGAAUGAGCUGGGACCCAGUUUCUGAGUCUGCUGGAACCAGAGACCGAGGUGUGGAGUUUCUUCUGCCAGUCUUUGGAUUGCUCUCUGGUUCGUGGACUUGGAUGUGGAUGUUAUGUAGUUGAACACAUGGGACAAGGUCACUGCUACGACGCCCAACAGGGAACCCUAAGCAGAGAGGGAUUCAGGAGCAGACCAGCUACCGCUUGGCUCCCACAAAUGGUCGCCUUGGAACUCUUUAUGGAAGAGGAGAAAACACCCACCACCACCGUUUCAUAACCCUGCACUGAAUGUGGAGACAACAACCACCCACCCCCAAAAUGAAACUCCAGCAGGGUACAUGUAUUGAAUCUAAGGUGUUGGUCAUGUAUUUUGGAUCAAUAAGUGAGGUUGUGCUUUUUGACUGGUAAGUGUACAUCUAAAUCCCUUGGAGGGGAUAUUCUCUGAGGUCACCCCAACUUAAAUUGUUGGCCCAUGGGGAGAUGUGUUGUCCCUAUUUGUUGUAUUGAUGUUGUCUCUGUAGGCCAGUGAAUUAAAGCUCCAUAGAGUCUUGUCCUAUUCCCGCCUCUCCAUGGGAAGUUCCAUUUCACUGAUUGGAAGAGACAGUACAACCCUCGUGUGGCCAUUCAUAUGAGUCACUAUUUAGGGAACAAAUGAUUAUGCUACCUUUGCACGGUCAUUUCACGAAUGUCCCUGGGCAGGCAGGGCCUCUAAAACUACAAAUGCUACAGGCUAUUUUAUUGGUAAACAGGUGGGGUUUGUGUUCACUGAGUUCCUUUUAUUUCUUUUCACUUUUCCUUGAUUGCCUAUCUGUGUUGGGUCAACAAUUGGUUUGAUAUUGACUUUACAGUUAGGUUAUUUUUAUCUUAUGUUUAUCCAUGGUUAUCUGCUCUGAUAGACGCUUAGGCAAGGACAAAUAUUUCUUGUUGCACAUACUAGCCUUAUUGCUUCUUUUGUGAAAUUAACCUGGUCAUAACUUAGGGGUUGGUUGUCUUUUUUAUUGUAUUCAGAUCUUAAGAUCAUAUACAAGUGCCUGAGCCAUACUAUGAACGCUCAUCGCCACAGACCUAACAACCGCCUACAGUACGCGAAUCAUAUCUUUUGCCCUUCCAGGACAGCCUGAUACACGUACUUGGCGAUGCAGGGGUGUAAUGCUCGAACCCCUUAUCGGCCUUGGACGGGUGUCAUGCUAGCACUCCCCCAUCGGCAAGGGAGUAGUGAUGUCACCACUAAAUCUAACAUUUCUUGAAUAGUUUUCAUCACAGUCAGAGCUGAAGAAGCAGUCUUAUGUUACAGUUAGGGUUAGGGUUAUGAUUAGAGUUAGAGUUAGGGGUUAUGAUAAAGGUUAGGUCACACUUACACCCCCCCCUUAGGUGCGGGAGGGAGGCACUCAUGCACCUUGCCACCCCUCAGCAUGGGAGGCUGUCAUCCAUGUGCCGGCCCCCCUUGGUGAGGGAGUAGUGAUGCUACUAUUAAAUCUGAUGUUUCAUGAAUGGGUCUUUUCACUUUCAUGGCUGAAGAAGCAGCGUCUCUUAUGAUGAGGGUUAGGGUUUGGAUUACCCUGAGGGAUAGGGUAAGAGUUAGGUCAUGCUUGCACCCCCCUCCCCGUUUGGCAAGGGAGGAAGGUCACGCCUGACCCCCGCCACCCUUGAUGCCAAAGGGUGUUCAGGCAUGCACCCUGCCUCCCCUCCACAAAGGGAGUAGUGAUGCCACUAUUUAACGUGUUGUUUUAUGAAUGGCUCUUUUCACUUUCACAGCUGAAGAAGCAGGCAUUUCUUAAGGUAAGGGUUAUGGUUAGGAUUGCCGUUCAUGGUUCGGGUAAGGGAUAGGCCAUGCCUGCACCCUCCCUUGGAGUGGGAGGGCGUUCACACAUGCUCCACACCCCCUCUCAUCUUGAGAGGGUGUUCACCAAUAGGACCCAGCCCCCUUCGGCGGGGGAGCGUGUUGAUGUAUGUGCCUGCACCCCUCUCAUGUGCGAGGGUGUUAAUGCAUGGGCACCACAACCCUAGGAGAGGGAGGGCAUUUGCCCCUGCGCCCUGCCCUGUUUGGCUCAGGAGGUUGUUCACGCAUGCGCACAGUCCCCCAUUGGCUUGGGAGGGUGUUCAGUUAUGUGCACGCACACGCCUCUAGGUGCAGGAGGGGGUUCACGCAUGUGCCCUGCCCCCCUGAGGCGCUGGAGAGGGUCACUUGUGCACAGCGCCACUAGUCAGUAAGGGAGUAGUGAUGCCACUAUUAAAUCUCAUUUUUCAUGGACGGCUGUUUUCACUUUCGCAGCUGAAGAAGCAUACAUCUCUUAAGGUCAAGGGUAGGGUUAGCAGUACAGUUAGGGGCUAAGAUAACUGUUAGUUCAUGCUUGCUCUCCCCCCUCAGCAUGGGAAGGUUUCACGCAUUACCCUGCUAUCCUGAGCAAUGGAGAGUGUUCACCCUUUCACCCCACCCCCUGAGAGUGGUAAAAUAUUGAAGCAUGUGCUCCACUCCACCUCCGCUGGGUAGGGCUUUCAUACAUACGUAGGUCCCCACUUCGGGACAGAUUGUUCAUACAUGUGCACCACCACCUCUCGGUGUGGGAGGGUGUUCACUCAUGGGCACACCCCACCUAUGCAUGGAAGAUGAUUCAUGCAUGUGUCUUGCCCACCUCAGCAUGGGAGGGUUUUUACACAUGUGCACAGCCCCACCUUGGUGUGGGAGAGGUCACCCAUGCAGAGCGCCACCCAUCAAUGAGGGAAUAGUGAUGCCACUAUUAAAUGUGACGUUUCAUGAAUGGUUCUUUUCACUUUCACAGCUGAACUAGCAGACAACCCUUAAGCUGAAGAAGCACGCAUCACUUAAGCUGAAGAAACAUGCAUCUCUUAAGGCUUGCAUCUUCCCUCUACCUCUAUACUCCAAGAUCCUGGCUGGCACUGGAAUUACAUCCUUAGCAGGGGCAUCACAACAUCUAGGUGAGUCUAUGCAAGUCAGAAUCAACCUCCAUCAACCUCCAUCCUUUAUGAGACCUAAGACGUGAUGCAGCUCCAAUGGGAAAUAUCACUUGUGUCUCUACCAAGGAUGCAGAAAAAGACAAGGUAAAU